AUGAACGCUGGCGGCGUGCCUAAUACAUGCAAGUCGAGCGAACAGAUGAGGAGCUUGCUCCUCUGACGUUAGCGGCGGACGGGUGAGUAACGCGUGGAUAACCUACCUAUAAGACUGGGAUAACUUCGGGAAACCGGAGCUAAUACCGGAUAAUAUAUUGAACCGCAUGGUUCAAUAGUGAAAGACGGUUUUGCUGUCACUUAUAGAUGGAUCCGCGCCGCAUUAGCUAGUUGGUAAGGUAACGGCUUACCAAGGCAACGAUGCGUAGCCGACCUGAGAGGGUGAUCGGCCACACUGGAACUGAGACACGGUCCAGACUCCUACGGGAGGCAGCAGUAGGGAAUCUUCCGCAAUGGGCGAAAGCCUGACGGAGCAACGCCGCGUGAGUGAUGAAGGUCUUCGGAUCGUAAAACUCUGUUAUUAGGGAAGAACAAAUGUGUAAGUAACUAUGCACGUCUUGACGGUACCUAAUCAGAAAGCCACGGCUAACUACGUG
rnacentral:rRNA from 1 species